AUUGAACGCUGGCGGCAGGCCUAACACAUGCAAGUCGAGCGGAUGAAGGGAGCUUGCUCCUGGAUUCAGCGGCGGACGGGUGAGUAAUGCCUAGGAAUCUGCCUGGUAGUGGGGGACAACGUUUCGAAAGGAACGCUAAUACCGCAUACGUCCUACGGGAGAAAGCAGGGGACCUUCGGGCCUUGCGCUAUCAGAUGAGCCUAGGUCGGAUUAGCUAGUUGGUGAGGUAAUGGCUCACCAAGGCGACGAUCCGUAACUGGUCUGAGAGGAUGAUCAGUCACACUGGAACUGAGACACGGUCCAGACUCCUACGGGAGGCAGCAGUGGGGAAUAUUGGACAAUGGGCGAAAGCCUGAUCCAGCCAUGCCACGUGUGUGAAGAAGGUCUUCGGAUUGUAAAGCACUUUAAGUUAGGAGGAAGGGUUGUAGAUUAAUACUCUGCAAUUUUGACGUUACCGACAGAAUAAGCACCGGCUAACUCUGUGCCAGCAGCCGCGGUAACAC
rnacentral:rRNA from 1 species